AGUAUUCUGGAUAAUGGGUCCCAUACCUGUAUUAAUCACUCUGUUCAGUGCGUUAUUUACAGUAUUGAUUUUAAGUGGUUUUUAUUGUAGUUUCAGUAGUUCUAUUGCAUUUUCAGUUAGACACUGUUGUUGAAUUACUUGUUUUUUGUCAAUAAAAUUGUCAUUGCAUAGUGCGACUACUGAUCAGGUAUUCUGAACACACUUCACUUUUUUCCUCCAGUAUCUGCUCUUGCCCGUGUUGCAAUAGUAAUCUAUCUUUCUGGCUGCUGAUCACAGUAAGAAAUCACUGAUUACUUUAUUUUGUUUACUUGUCUCUCAGAUUGUGAGCUCUUUGUACUUGGGUAUAUAUUGUACUGCAGAAGAGGCUGCUGCACUGUGCUAGGCAUCUAGCUCAGAGGAGGUCUGGGAGUAUGAUUCUGAGUUUUGACCUCAGAAAGCAUCUUGUCUUCCGAUGAGUCAUGGGCUAGCAAUAGCCCUUUUAGUGCCUAUGGAUGUAGAUCAGUAUGUGGAGGAUCAAGAUGAGGGCAAUAGGGCUCACACUGCAGCUAGAGAAGAGCCUGAAUUGUGGAGAAAUUUAAGCUAUGAAAGCAAUAAAAUUGACACAAAAAAUGUAUUUAUGAAGGUGACAAAGGGAGUCGCUGGUGGAAAGACAUACACAUUGCUUCGGUUCUCUGAAAUUGCACAAAGUUUCCUUCUGCAGGCAACUUCAUGCGAAGGGCUGAUGUUGGACUUGCAACUCAAAAUUUUGUUUCUGAUAUAAAGACUUUUGUGGUAAAUCCCUGAGAUGAUUUAAACUCUUCUUCUAAUGCCACAAACUUUAUUGUUGGUACCUCAAAUGCUCAACUGUACUGACAUAGAGGCUGUCUAUAUUUCAGAGCUAUAUUUAUUCCUUUUUUCAUGGUAUGAAUAUUUGGUGGAAAAAGUUACAGGGAUACCUUGUAGGUUUUUGUUAGUUGUCUUCAUGAAUUUAGCAAGAAAUCAAAUUUUAAAUCUGUUUUUUUGCUUUGGUUCUUAAAGUGGACCUGUCACCCAGGCAUAAAAAGCUGUAAAAUAAAAGUCAUUUUCAAAUUAAACAUGAAACCCAAACUACAGUAUUUUUAGGCAAGCAAUAAAUUUAGAUCCUAUACCAUAUCUAGGCAGGAGCUCCCAAAGAAAGAGCCACUCUAUGGAGUAAAAUGUUUUUUCCCAAUUAACAGAAUUGCCCUGGCACCUCCAUUCUUGUGGGGGAUCUGCAGGUUGGCAUAUAGCCUUCUAGUAUUAAUUCUGGCUUUUUGGGCAUAACCCAGACUGAUCUGGUUCUUUAAGAGUAGUGAUAACCUUGGCUAGCCUUGUGGCUAGGACUUUGGCAAGUAUUUUAAUAUCUAGAUUCAGUAGUGAGAAAGGCCUGUGUGCCUCACAGUGGGCAAGCUCCCCAGUCUCUUUGGGUAUAACCACUAUUAUGGCUUCUUGCAGAGUAGAGUGGGGGGAGUCACUUAAGCAUCUAUCAAGGUAUUAUGUAGGUAAGGAUUAAGUGUUUUGAUUGCCAGGUACCAGUCUUUUAGGAACCCGUCUUGGCCUGGUGUUUUGCUAGUCAGAAAGCUCUGGACUGCUAAUGCUAGGUCAUAUUGGGAAAUUUGGGGAAUCAAAGUAGGCCUUUUGUUGUGGCUCUAGUGAAUUUAGAGGUAACCUCUAAAGGUAGGCACUAAUCUGAUCUGAGGUAGCUUUGAGUCUGGUUAGAGUGUGGCAUAAUAAUCUGCAAACUCCUUUGCAAUGCCCUGGGAAUCGGUAAUUUCAGUUUUAUCCUGUGGUAUUAUUCUAGGAACUGCUGCUGUUUCAGUGGGGGCUUUGGCAAGGUGUGCUAGGACUUUACUGUUCGUCUCCCCUUGAUCAAAAACCCUUUGCUGUGCAUAUAGCAGUUGUUUUCUAGUGAGCUCUAUCUGCUUGAGUGGAAGGGCUUGUGUAUGCUGUGUUACUAGAUAUUUGUCAUCUGUAGUGCUUGUUGAGUAGUCUCUCUGUGCCUUGACAUAUGCCUUAUCUAGGUGUCUGACCUCUUCCUUCAGUUUUACCCCUGGAAGUGCUUUAUAGACUGUAUUAAUCUGCCAUGCAGGACUGCUUUAGAGGUGUACCACAGUAUGUCAGUGGGUGCUGUGUUCUUAUUUUCCUUCCAGUAUUGCUCUAUUUCCUCAUCUCUGUCUUCAGCUGUGGGUGGGAUUUUAAGCCAGAGGGGAUUGUGACACCAGAGCCUAGUGGUGUGCUGGCCCAGAAGGGUCAAUCUUAGGGCUAGGGCGAAAUAGUCAGAUAGUAUUCGCAGGAGUAUAUUAACCUCUGAGUUAUAUCAUAGGAAGCCCUGUGUGCCUAGGGCAAAAUCAGUGCAGAAGAAUGUUUUCUGAGUGGCUGAAUGACAUCUGUAUUCCUUUCUUGGGGGUGUCUUACCCAAAAUCAAAUACUCCCUGUGUGGAACAUAGAGAGCACAAAGAGUUAGCACCAUGUUGUAUAUUUGAAAGUGGAGGAUUACAAAGCUUGGUAGCUUUGGGCAACCCAAUACAUUUUAAGUGCUAAUAGUUUCUGACUCACUAGGUGGGAUUCCUGUAGACAUACUGUAAAGGUACUUACUUCCACUCUCUUGUACUUCAGUUUCAUCCCCCUCACAUUCCAGGACAUGAUCAGCAUAUUAUUCCCUUUCAUAGCAUCUUUAGGUGCACCCAUACAUGUGGUGAAUUGUUUUUUUUUUUUUGGGAGAAGUUGUAGAUGAAUAUAUAGCAUGUUCUUUUAGUUACCAUGGCAAUUUAUUGGAGAAAUCUUACUUAAUCUACCUUUUCCUUCAUUUUAGGCCAAACUGAGGAUUAUAUUGAGAACUGUAGCUAUAGUGCUGCAUGUAGAAAUGCAAGGAUGAUGCCACUGAAUAGCGGCAGGCCAAACCACAGUUUUCUAUGGAGAACUGUGUCCACAUGUCUGCAUGUAGGAAAGCAAGGAUGGUGCAGAUGAAAACUGAAGAACACCACCAUAAACGUUUCAGCUAAAAAUUGCCCUUGUGCAUUGACCCUGUUUUGGGGUGUUUUGCGGCCCUCUCUAUGUGCACCUACAGUAUACAUAUGGUGUAUUGAUUUACUCGGGAAACUGCACUUUUGACAUUGUGACUGAGAUGGUGUUUACAAAUGACUAUGAUCAUAAUCCCUGUUUCAGCCUAUGGGUUUAUUUGUUUUUUUAAUUAAUGUUAUAAAGUAUGACUGUAUAUAUUUGGGCCGGGCCCUGUUCCUUAUGUAUUGGUUGUUUUUGUUUUUAAAUCCUGUAUGUUCAGCGUUUACACCCAUUCUCAUCCGGGGAAUAUGUUGGUGAUUUCUAAAUAUGUGUAAAUUAUAAUAAUAAUCUCUAACAAUUAAAAUCUUAAAUGUACUUUUUCUUUAAACAAUAAAGCAAGAGUUAUAAUGUU